rnacentral:rRNA from 1 species
UACGUAGGGUGCAAGCGUUGUCCGGAAUUAUUGGGCGUAAAGAGCUCGUAGGCGGUUUGUCGCGUCGAAUGUGAAAACCCGGGGCUCAACCCCGGGCCUGCAUUCGAUACGGGCAGACUAGAGUUCGGUAGGGGAGUCUGGAAUUCCUGGUGUAGCGGUGAAAUGCGCAGAUAUCAGGAAGAACACCCGUGGCGAAGGCGGCUCCUCUGGGACGGUACUGACGCUGAGACGCGAAAGCGUGGGGAGCGAACAGG